GGUUAAGCGACUAAGCGUACACGGUGGAUGCCCUGGCAGUCAGAGGCGAUGAAGGGCGUGCUAAUCUGCGAUAAGCGCCGGUAAGGUGAUAUGAACCGUUAUAACCGGCGAUACCCGAAUGGGGAAACCCAGUGUGAUUCGUCACACUAUCAUUAACUGAAUCCAUAGGUUAAUGAGGCGAACCGGGGGAACUGAAACAUCUAAGUACCCCGAGGAAAAGAAAUCAACCGAGAUUCCCCCAGUAGCGGCGAGCGAACGGGGAGGAGCCCAGAGCCUGAAUCAGCAUGUGUGUUAGUGGAAGCGUCUGGAAAGGCGCGCGAUACAGGGUGACAGCCCCGUACACAAAAGCGCAUGUGCUGUGAGCUCGAUGAGUAGGGCGGGACACGUGGUAUCCUGUCUGAAUAUGGGGGGACCAUCCUCCAAGGCUAAAUACUCCUGACUGACCGAUAGUGAACCAGUACCGUGAGGGAAAGGCGAAAAGAACCCCGGCGAGGGGAGUGAAAAAGAACCUGAAACCGUGUACGUACAAGCAGUGGGAGCACAGGUUUACCUGUGUGACUGCGUACCUUUUGUAUAAUGGGUCAGCGACUUAUAUUCUGUAGCAAGGUUAACCGAAUAGGGGAGCCGGAGGGAAACCGAGUCUUAAUUGGGCGUUAAGUUGCAGGGUAUAGACCCGAAACCCGGUGAUCUAGCCAUGGGCAGGUUGAAGGUUGGGUAACACUAACUGGAGGACCGAACCGACUAAUGUUGAAAAAUUAGCGGAUGACCUGUGGCUGGGGGUGAAAGGCCAAUCAAACCGGGAGAUAGCUGGUUCUC
rnacentral:rRNA from 1 species